rnacentral:rRNA from 1 species
GACGAACGCUGGCGGCGUGCUUAACACAUGCAAGUCGAACGGAAAGGCCCUGCUUUUGUGGGGUGCUCGAGUGGCGAACGGGUGAGUAACACGUGAGUAACCUGCCCUUGACUUUGGGAUAACUUCAGGAAACUGGGGCUAAUACCGGAUAGGAGCUCCUGCUGCAUGGUGGGGGUUGGAAAGUUUCGGCGGUUGGGGAUGGACUCGCGGCUUAUCAGCUUGUUGGUGGGGUAGUGGCUUACCAAGGCUUUGACGGGUAGCCGGCCUGAGAGGGUGACCGGCCACAUUGGGACUGAGAUACGGCCCAGACUCCUACGGGGGGCAGCAGUGGGGAAUAUUGCACAAUGGGCGGAAGCCUGAUGCAGCAACGCCGCGUGCGGGAUGACGGCCUUCGGGUUGUAAACCGCUUUCGCCUGUGACGAAGCGUGAGUGACGGUAAUGGGUAAAGAAGCACCGGCUAACUACGUG